UGGAUUUUCUUUUGAAAUCCAAGAUAAUCCUGGAGCGAGAACCAUAUUACUAAAAAAGAAUUACCAAGAUGAGACAAUCAAAAUUGAAGUUGAUGAACCUAGUAUUCCAGAUGAGGAUGUGCAGGAAGAUGACGAUGAUGAUCAGGAUAAAAAUGUUGAGGACACGGAUAACCCAGCAAGCCUUCCACUGAUUGUAAGUAUUACUAAAGGAAAAGGCCAGAUUGUGGAGUUUGGUAUCACUGCUUACCCAGAUGAGAUCACAAUCGAUACCUUGUCAAUUAAGGAUUCAGAAUCUUCUGAAGAUAAACUUGCAUAUGGACCUGACUUUUGGUAAGUUUUUGGUAUAUGAUAUGGUACCAAUUAAUUAUGUUAAUCCUUGUUAUGAUGUUUGACUAACUUUGGCUUCUCUUAAACAGUGAUUUGCCCGAAAAUUUGCAAAAGGAUUUCCACGAAUAUCUUGAUAGCAUAGGGAUCAAACCUAGCAUGAUGAACUUUUUGUUCGAGUACAUGAGAAACAAAGACAAGAAAGAAUACUUGAUAUGGCUGAAGAACCUCAAGAGUUUCAUGGAAAGGUAACUCUUUGUGCAAUGGGAGAACAGCAAAUGCAGCCAAGCUUUUGUGCUGAGCAGCAAAAUCUGCUCUCUUAGUGAUUUAGUUCAUCUGAAAUGUUUACAAUCUAAACUUGUAUUCCUAUUAGAGGGUGGAGCAAAACUUUCACUGUUUUUGAGGGUAUUCUAGUUACUGUUGUUUUAUGAGCACUUUUUCAUGGAUGAUAAGAAAGGAUUAUGGCCGAAAUCCUUUAAUUGAUAAAUUAUAUCUCGAUUAAGAGAUACAACAUUCAAUCAUCAUAGAUUCUCUGCACCAUCCUUUUAUAGGUAAUUUAUGGUUUGCAUUUCUGUUAUUGCAUAUCUGUCAUGGGUCUGACUAGUUUCGUCAGCUCUGUAUGAACAAAUUAAAUAUGGGUUGUAAUCUCUUCCAUUGGCUUUAUUUUGAUAGGUUUUGUUGCCUCUGUUCUUUUUNNNNNNNNNNNNNAAAAAAAAAAAAAAAAAAAAAAAAAGUAAAGGAAGAAAAAGGGGUCUUCAAUGAUUCUUGGUAUUAAACAUGUACCAAUUUGGAUUUUUCUUGAUUUAAGGGUGCCCGGUCUAUAAAUUUUGGCUCAUAGUUUUGUUGACAGAUUUUAAAAUUGUAUAUAUAAAUAAUAGAAAAGUUAAUUAGUUGAUUAUCAAAAGAAUUUUUUGGUCAAUAUUACAAACAGAAUAUGAAUUUAAUAGGUAAAAAGAUUUAUUUUGACCUUUAAAAUUUAUUUUGAUUUAUAUAAGCCAUUUAAUUAUUAAAAUAAGUGAAAUAAGGUUUUUAAAAUAUUAAGUUCUUAAAAUUUUUAAAAUAUAUCAAACAUGCCUUUGGACGUAAAAAUAUGACAAACAACUUUAUUUUGAAGCAGAAGUAUAAUAUGUUCUCUCUCCGAAAGGUUAGAGAGAGCGAGGACCAUGUUUACUUUUCUAGGAGUCUUGUCUCUUUUCCUCUACAGAUAUAUGUUUGUCUCCUCUAUUGGAUAGAAGGAUUUGGAUCUAGGUGAAUAUAUCUUUUUUCUGUGAUUUCUUAGUUAUUUUUUCAUUUUCUCUGUGUUGGAUUUGAAAUCUUGUAGGAAAGGAGGUUGAUAAUAUACACAUUUGUAUAAUUUUAAUAUUCUAAAACACUUAGAUAUUGAGUUUGAUAAUGCACAAUACAAUUACUCAACCGCAAAAUAAGAAUUUUUAGCUAUAGUUUUUGCUUUCAAAAAAUUUUGUUCAUAUUUACUUGACACUAAAGUAAUUUUUAAUUAUGACCAUGCAGCUCUAAAAUACAUUUUUAAGAAAAAAGAUGCAAAGUCUAGACUAAUUCAGUGGAUCCUUUUGCUCCAGGAGUUCGAUGUUAAAAUUCGAAACAAGAAGUGGUCUAAGAAUUUAGUUGUUGAUCAUCUUAGUCGGCUGCCGUUAUUGGUUGAAGAACCUGUACUACUCAAGGAUAAAUUCCCAGAUGAACAUCUAUUUUUUGCUUCAGAUCAAGUUCUUUAGUGCGCAUAUAUAGUCAAUUAUUUGGUCUCUAAAUCCUUACUUGAUGAUUUAACCAAAACUGAACGAGAAAAGAUCAAAUAAGAUCAAGAACAUAGCAUAGUGUGUCUGAGAUAGAGGAGGUUCUCUCAAGGUGAGAGCUACCUUCACCUUCCUUUUUACUACCAUAAGGUUGCCUCCUAUACCCUUGACUAGGGCUUGGUCUUUCACUAAUUGUUCUUCUGGCAUUUUCAUAUGCGGGAAGACCCGUUAUAGGAGCAAAUUCAUUUUACUGUUGUCAUCCACUAGCACCUUUCAAACUCCAAAAUUAUGGAUCACUGCUUCAAUAAUCAGAGCAUCAUCAUGUGGCAUCUGUGUCCCCGUGCAUCCUCUGGUGAGAAGAAAAUGGUCAUUGGAGUAUGCUUUGCGAUCUGCAUAACUUCUAUGUUGCCCUCAUUUCCAUUGGCAAUACUUGUCUGGGGUCACUUUUGAACCGAUUAGAUAGAUUAUUUCAGUGACAUAUAUGUAUAAUUCCUUGAAGAAAGCUAGUUAUUUGUACACCUGAAAUUAAAAGUGCAUAUUGUUGGACCUAAAUAUUCUAAUCCUUAUUUUGAUGACUAUAAACAAUUGGUAUACUACUAAUUAUCUUCAAAAGUGUUUGUGUUGAGUUUGUAGGUCCCUUAUUAAAAUAAAUGAAAUCGCUUCAGUUUCAAGAAUGAAAAGUGCUAAAUUUGGAAGCAUGCCACAAGAAAGGGAUCAGAAUGUAAUUUUUUUUUCUUUAUGCAUUGUCAAUUUCAAUUAAUUAAUUGUGAUGACUCAAGUUUUCUUUAAAUCCUAAAAGUUUAUAAAUAUGGUCAUGUUUUAAGUAAUUGACUUUGAGAGACCAAAAUGAAAUUUUUCAAAAGGAGUGAUUUUGAAAAUUUUUUUAUCAAAAAUAAAGGAUCCAAAAAUAUAGGUUGUAAAAAUUCAAACGGAUUGAAAAAUGGAGUUUCAUAACCUAAGUUAUGAUUUUUCAAAGAUUUAAAGAAUUAUUUUUGCCCCUUAAAAUCAGAUGUUCGGCUUUCGAAAGUGAAGAGCAGAGGUAAAAGUCCCAUAUGUUCGGCCGCUGAACAUGAACUUUAGGCCGCCGAAAGUAUAACGACCCAGAAACCGGACCGCUACUGGCGCUAGGAUCCAGAUCGACUUAAGGUCGCCGGGACCCGUAGCAAGCCUACUAUACAUACUGUACAUUUGAUAAAAUCACAUACAUGAUCAUACAUUUUCAUAAAAACUUUAAACUUUCACAUAUACCAAACUUGACCUAUGCAUGCACCAUACUGUAAACACAAAAUCCCAUACUAGAGCCCUCAUCAAAUGCUCUAGUGGGUCAACAUAACAUACAUCAAGUUUGGUUCAACAUUUCUUAUCAUUAAAACAUUCCAUACAGAUCAUGUACAAAAAGGGAUCUCUAUACAUUAGGGCCAAGCACAAUACUAAUCCUCAAUACAUUUCUUUACAUUACAAUACAUUACAUUACAUUUCAUUACAUGUCCAUAAUGAGUCUAUUACAUAACAUAACCAUGACCAUUACCCUUGCUGACUCCCUGUGCUAUCUCUGGUCCUGCAAACCUAGGGGUUAGGAGAAAAAGGUGAGCUACUAAAGCCCAGUGAGCAGAACAGUAAAACAGUUUAUAAAUGUAUGCCAUUAUGAAAUGCAUCACAACACAAGUAAAUCACCUUAAGAUAGUAUUGUCACUAAUAGCCCUCUACAUAUCCAAUAAAUGCCCAGCCAUCGACGGAGAUCCUCAGGACUUCCUCUUAAACAUAACAUAACAUAACAUUUUCAACUGUGCCAGGGGUGAUACGGCCAUAUAUGGUAUUUCCAUCUCAUGUCAUAUCAUAUCACAUCGAGGGCUAAUGGAUCAUCCAAUAUCCAUCCACAUCAACAAUGAAUAAUGCAAUGCGUCAUAUUCGUGGAUUCUAAUGCAACAACCUAUAAACAUGGCAAUCAUGAUGCAUGAACAUGCUUAAAAGUUUAUUUGCUUUAAAAAUAAAAGAGUCGUGUUCUACUCACCUUUGACUGACGCUUUACUGACUGUAACAGCCCGGCCCUUUCACCGGCACUGUUACCGUUCACGGCCCAGGGCUAUCCCUCACCUGGCCUCGUGCCACCUCGGGCUUUCCACUGGCGUCGUGAACAGCUCUUAACAUCCAUUCACCCUCACGAGUUCCUGGCAGGAUUUUUCCCCUUGGGUUCUUGCAUCGCAUCCUUCCCCAAGUGGAUUUGGCCCAAAUUUCCCUUCGGAAAUUAGGUCGCCUCCCCCACUACUCGAACCCUUGACCUCCAAUGGAACAAUUGGUACUCACUCUCACCAGACUAUUCCCUUAAAGUGGGAGGUCAAGGGUUCGAGUAGUGGGGGAGGCGACCUAAUUUUCAAAGGGAAAUUUGGGCCAAAUCCACUUGGGGAAGGAUGCGAUGCGAGAACCCAAGGGGACAAAUCCUGCCAGGAACCCGUGAGGGUGAAUGGAUGUUAAGAGUUAUUCACGACGCUUGUGGAAAGCCCGAGGUGGCAAAAGGCCAGGCGAGGGAUAGCCCUGGGCCGUGAACAGUAACAGUGCCGGUGAAAGGGCCGGGCUGUUAUAGAAAGCAUGAGAAAUCGCAGAAAAGAAGGGGAGAGGAAGAAGGAAAAGAAUAAGAAAGGGAGAAGAAGAGGAAAGAAGCUAUAUGCACCCCCACACUUAAAUUAUGCAUUGUCCUCAAUGUAAAAGAAGAGAGAAGAGGAGAGGAGAAGAAGAGAAGAAGAGAACAAAAGAAACGGAGUACUUCCCUAGGGUGAGGUGUGCAUGGCAUGAUCCUCUAGGCAGAAUGAGUGGCGAACAGAUGUUCGUCUGGGAACUCUUCUUUGACUGGGCAUGGUGUAGAACUAUAUGGAAGUCGGCUGAGGUGGUCUGCCACAAGAUUCUCUUUGCCCUUCUUGUCUCUUAUUUCUAGAUCAAAUUAUUGUAGAAGUAGAAUCCACUUAAUGAGCCUUGGUUUUGCUUCUUUUUUCCUGAUCAAAUAUCGCAAGGCUACAUGGUCAGAAUAGACAAUGACUUUGGUUCCCAAAAGAUAUGGUCUGAAUUUUUCCAAAGCCAAUACAACUGCCAAGAGCUCUUUUUCAGUUGUUGUAUAGUUGCUUUGUGCAGAAUCCAAUGUGCGAGAGGCAUAGUGAAUGACAUGGGGGGAGUUUUCCACACGUUGCCCCAAGACUGCUCCUACUGCAUAAUUGCUUGCAUCACACAUGAUUUCAAAUGGCAGGUUCCAAUCAGGCCCUUGAAUAAUUGGGGCAGUCACAAGCAACUCUUUAAUCAAAUCAAACGCCUUUUUGCAAUCUGCAUCAAAAUCAAAUGUUACAUCUUGUUGGAGCAAUCUGCAUAAUGGCAAAGUAAUUUUUGAGAAGUCUUUGAUGAAUCUUCUGNNNNNNNNNNNNNNNNNNNNNNNNNNNNNNNNNNNNNNNNNNNNNNNNNNNNNNNNNNNNNNNNNNNNNNNNNNNNNNNNNNNNNNNNNNNNNNNNNNNNNNNNNNNNNNNNNNNNNNNNNNNNNNNNNNNNNNNNNNNNNNNNNNNNNNNNNNNNNNNNNNNNNNNNNNNNNNNNNNNNNNNNNNNNNNNNNNNNNNNNNNNNNNNNNNNNNNNNNNNNNNNNNNNNNNNNNNNNNNNNNNNNNNNNNNNNNNNNNNNNNNNNNNNNNNNNNNNNNNNNNNNNNNNNNNNNNNNNNNNNNNNNNNNNNNNNNNNNNNNNNNNNNNNNNNNNNNNNNNNNNNNNNNNNNNNNNNNNNNNNNNNNNNNNNNNNNNNNNNNNNNNNNNNNNNNNNNNNNNNNNNNNNNNNNNNNNNNNNNNNNNNNNNNNNNNNNNNNNNNNNNNNNNNNNNNNNNNNNNNNNNNNNNNNNNNNNNNNNNNNNNNNNNNNNNNNNNNNNNNNNNNNNNNNNNNNNNNNNNNNNNNNNNNNNNNNNNNNNNNNNNNNNNNNNNNNNNNNNNNNNNNNNNNNNNUGUUUUAACUAAGUUUUAUGCAAGAUCUAUGGGUAGAAAUGCAUGUUAGGGUAUAUGUUGAGUUUAUGGGUUUUGAUGCUUUGAUGAACAAUGUAGCUUGUUUUUGUGUGUUUGAAGUGUUGUAGUUGGGGUAUAUGAUAGCUUGAGACCCCUAGGUGUAAUGUAUGUGAGGUAUGCAUGUUUUGGAACUAGUUUUUACAUGAUUUGAGCUUGGGAGGCGAAAUGUGCAUAGAGGAGCUGAGUUUCUGCCCUUCGGGAGAAGCUCAGGUUCGGCCGCCGAAGUGACUUUCGGCCGCCGAACCCUCUUUUGUGGAGGCAGCAUUCGGCUGCCGAAGUUGCCCCCGAAAAGAGACUUUCGUCUCUGUCUGGGACUUUCGGCCGCCGAAGGUGCCGCCGAAAGUGCCCUGUUCAGCCAUUUCAUGCAUAUUUCUAUGUGGUGUUUUCAUAAUGUUCUAGGGGGUUUUUGGGGAGUUUAUUAGAGUUAUGUUUAUAUAUGUUUGGUCCCUCAUUGGAGUCCACCUGUGUAGGUUCGGACCCGAGGAACCGAGGACCUCAGCAGUGAGAUAGCUGCUUUAGAGUCUGUAGAGCUUCAGCCAGAGGUGAGUGGAAUGAACCUUAAGUUUUUAAAUAAAUGAAAUAUAACUUUUUGGAGCAUGUUCAUGCAUCAUAUAUGCCAUGAUAUAUUUUAGGUUGUUUACAUUAGUAUUCACGAAUAUGUUGCAUUGCAUAAUAUGAUGUGGAUGCGGAUUGGCUAUUGGAUGAUCCUCUAGUCCUCCUAUGGUAUGAUAUGAUGAUGAUACGGUAUGGAUUGCCAGUGAGGCCCAUUCUACGCCCCUGGAUUAUGUUAAGAGGAAGACCAGUGAGGCCCAUUCUACGCCCCUGGCAUAUUGGAAUGAUAUGUUAUGUUAUGUAUGUAAGAGGAAGACCAGUGAGGCCCACUCUACGCCCCUGGCAUGAUUGGACUAUGUUGAGGACUAUAGGUGACAAUAACAUCCUUAUGUGAUAUGUUUGUGAUGUGUUGCAUUUCAUGGAAGCAUGAAAUAUUUAAUAUAUGUUUUUCUCUAUUCUGCUCACUGGGCUUUAUAGCUCACCCCUCUCCCCUAACCCCAGAUGUGCAGGUACAGGGUAGACCAGGAGGUUAGCCAGAGUAUGAAGUGAUGCUAUGUAAUAGUUAGAUUGUGGACAUGAAAAUUGUAUUAUGAUGUAAUGUAAAAGAGUUUUAAGUUAUGUUAUGAAAUUUUGAAUAUUGAGGAUAGAGUUGUGCUUGACCAAUACAGAUUGUUAAUCCCACUUGUAUGUACAUGGUCCUUAUGAUAUGAGAUAUGAGUUUAUGUUUCAACCAAGCUUAUGUAUGAUGAGUUACCCCAUUGGAGCAUUUGAUGAGGGCUCCAGUGGAGGUUUAUGAUAUGUGUAUGUUUAUGUACAGGUUGAGCUUGGUUGUUAUAUGAGAAUGUUUACAGGUUUAUGAGUUUUGUUGAUCAUGUAUGGGAUUUACAGGUUUACAGGAUAUAUGUUAGGCUUGCUACGGGUCCCGGCGGCCUUACGCCGAUCUGGAUCCUAGCGCCGGUAGCGGUCCGGAUUUACGGGCUGUUACAUGUCCAAGGAAGGAACGGAUGUCUUUAACGUUUGUGGGGUAAGGCAGAUUUUUGAUGGUAUCCACCUUAGCUUUGUCCACUUCAAUGCCCUUAGCUGAAACAACAUGUCCUAAGACCAUAACUUGAUUAACCAUAAUAUGACAUUUUUCAUAAUUAAGCACAAGGUUAGUCUCAAUGCAUCUUUGCAAGAUCUUUUCUAAAUUGGUAAGGCAUUCAUCAAAAGAAUUUCCAUGAACAGUGAAGUCAUCCAUAAAUACCUCAAUUGUCUUACCCACAUAGUCAGAAAAUAUGCUCAUCAUGCAUCGUUGAAAAGUGGCAGGUGCAUUGCAUAGUCCAAAUGGCAUUCUUCUAAAGGCAAAAGUGCCAAAAGGACAAGUGAAGGUAGUCUUCUCUUGGUCCUCUGGAGCAACUGGGAUUUGGUAAAAACCUGAAUAACCAUCAAGACAACAAUAGUGAGAUUUACCUGCAAGCCUUUCUAGCAUCUGAUCAAUGAAAGGUAGUGGGAAGUGGUCCUUCCUUGUUGCAGCAUUAAGCUUCCUAUAGUCCAUGCAUACCCUCCAUCCAUUAUGGACUCUAGUGGGGAUAAGUUCUCCUUCAGCAUUUGGAACAAUGGUAAUUCCAUUUUUCUUUGGAACUACAUGUACAGGGCUCACUCAUUUGCUAUCAGAGAUUGGAUAUAUGAUGCCUGCAUUAAGGAGCUUGACUAUCUCUUUUUUUACUACCUCCAUCAUAGGUGGGUUUAGUCUUCUUUGAGCAUCUCUGACUGGCUUGCACUCAUCCUCCAUGUGAAUUCUAUGCAUGCAGGUGGAGGGAGAAAUACCCUUGAUGUCAUCAAUAGUCCAUCCUAUUGCUCCUUUGUGUUUCUGUAGUACUUUCAAGAGGCUUGCUUCUUCUCGUUGGCUUAAUUCAUUGGACACUAUUACUGGUAGUGUCUUAUUUACUCCCAAGUACAUGUAUUUCAGAUGGUCUGGGAGAGGCUUCAGAUCAGAAGGUUGUUGCAGAGAUGGAUUAGAAGAGCUUGCUUGCGAUGGGGGCUGCUGGGAGAGGUUCGGCGGCCGAAAAGGUGUUGGAUUCGGCGGCCGAAGUUCUUCAGUUUACGGAAUGAGCUUUGGCGAUGGAUUCGGCUUCCGCAAGUCAGUGAGGUUCGGCGGCCGAAAGAUGUUUGGCGGCCGAAGAAUGUCUUCUUUCCGCGCAAUGUCUUGCUCAAGUGGUGCGACAGAAGGUGGUGUCUGAAUGGCAGUGGGGUUCGGCGGCCGAAAGUGGGCUAAGUUCGGCGGCCGAAGAUCUUCUGUUUGCUUGAUCUCAACUUGCUGAAUGCUGCAGAUUGUUUCUUUUAGUUUCAGGCUUUCAAUCCUGCAAAGAUCAUCAUCUAAAACAGAAUCUUGAUUUCCGUUAAACACAUCUUGGCUCAAACAAUCAAUAAUAUCAAGACCAUAAACAGGGGACAUAUCAUGAGGAUAUUUCAUGGCAUCAUAAACAUUGUACUUGAUUACCUCCCCUUCAAACUCCAUGGUAAGAGUACCAUCAUGCACAUCAAUUUUAGUUCUAGCAGUACUCAAGAAGGGACGUCCAAGAAGAAUGUCAGAACUAGUAUUGCAACUAUCUUCCUUAGUAUCAAUCACAUAAAAAUCAGCAGGACAGACAAGUUCAUCUACUUGGACUAAGACAUCUUCAAGAACACCUAUGGGGUAUACCACAGAUCUAUCAGCCAAUUGUAUCACAACUCUUGUUUCUUUUAGUGCAUAUGCAUUGAGAGAUUUAUAGAUGGAGAGAGGCAUGACAUUGAUAAAGGCACCAAGAUCACACAUGGCUUUCUUUGUACCAACAUUCCCAAUCUUGCAAGAGAUAGCAAACAUACCUUUGUCCUUGCAUUUGGUGGGGAGUUCCCUUUUAAUGACAGCAGUCACUACCUCACCUACACUUACUUUUUCUCUUUCUGCGAGCUUCCUUCUAUUAGUGCAAAGUUCUUUCAGAAAUUUAGCGUACCUAGGAAUCUGCUUAACAGCAUCUAGCAGAGGUAUAUUGAUUUGCACUUUUCUGAAAGUGUCCCUUUUCUUCUUUUUCUUUUUGUGUUCUUUCAAACCUCUUGGGAAAAGGAGGUGGAAUGUGGAAACUUAGUUUCGGAUCAGCUCUUUGCGCAGGGGGGACUUCAGUUUGCGCAGGAGUGGCUUCCGGGAUGGGUCUUCACGCAAUGUGCUCUUCUGCAGUUGGUUCUUGCGCAUAGAUUUCCCUUUCAGAUUGUGUAGGAGGUGUUCUUUCAUCAAUCUUGGCCUCUUGAAGCUCUUUUCCACUUCUCAAAGUAAUGGCACUGACAUUUUGUCUAGGAUUAGUUUCAGUUUGAGAAGGGAGCUUACCUUGAGAUUCAGAUCUGCCGAUGGAUGCAGCCAGUUGGCCUAUCUCUUGUCGCAUGCCUUGCAUGGUAUUGACCAUUGUUUCCAUCAUUGUUUGCAUGAUCUUCUCAAGGUUCUGAUUUGGAUUUGAAGGUGCUGGUUGAGCUUGAUUUCUUUGGAGAAUUUGGUAAUUUUGACUAUUGUUGGCCCUUCCAUAGCUGAAACUGGGAUGGUCUCUCCAACCUGGAUUGUAUGUAUUGGAGUAUGGAUCAUGCCUAGGCUGGUUGUGGUACCCUCCAAUAGCGUUGACUUGGUGGUGAUCUUCUUAGAGUGUGGGACAUUAAUCGGUUGGGUGUCCUACAUGAGCACAGAUCUCACAUGGCCUAGGUGGUGGAAUUGCUUGCAUUUAUUGGACCUGGCUAAGGGCAAUCUUUUCCACAAGAGAAGUUAGUUUUGAUAUUUGAGAUUCAACAGAGGAUGUUCUUACCUCAUAGAUUCCUCUUUGCGUUUGCUCUUCUUCUUCGUAUUGCUUGGAUGAAGCCGCAAGAUUGGAUAUUAGUUCCUUCAUCUCCCUAGGUGUCUUGUCUAGGAUAGAUCCUCCACAGGCUACAUUUAUGAGUUUCCUUUUUGAUGGAAUCAAUCCUCCAUAGAAAAACUGAAUGAGGGCUUUGUCCGACAUAUCAUGUUGUGGACAACCUGUACAUAGUCUUUCAAACCUUUCCUAAUAAUCAUAUAAGUCUUCAGUUGGUUUUUGUCUUAUGCUAGUGAUUUCUCUUAUUAUGCCAAUUGAUUUAGAUGGUGGGAAGUAUUUGUCCAAAAAGGCUUGGACCAUAUCAUCCCAAGAAGUUAUAGAUCCAGGUGGCAAAUAAAAUAACCAAUCCUUAGCAUGGUCAUCUAAUGAAAAAGGGAAGGCUCUUAGUUUAACAUGAUCUUCAGAGAUCCCUUGAGGUCUCAUGGAUGAGCAAAUAAUUUUAAAUUCUUUUAAGUGCUUAUGUGGAUUUUCAUUUUGCAAACCUCUAAAUUUAGGGAGCUGAUGAAUCAAACCUGAUUUCAGUUCAAAGGGAACUGUAAGAGGCGGAUAGGUGAUGCAAAGUGGAGCAUAAUCACCUAUAGGAGUUGCUAACUCCCUCAUGGUUCUUUCCCUUUGUGCUUGUGGCCUAUUUGCUGGAUUUUCUUGAAUUAUCUGGCCUUGGACAGCAUGUCCAUCAUGGGCAGCAGCUGGUGCUUGAGGUUCUGCCAUUGGCGUACAACUUGAUUGCUGGAGUGCAGGACUUUCGGCGGCCGAAUGUUGAUGGGGUUCGGCGGCCGAAGGUUGGGCAGAAUGUUCUUCAGGCGCAGAAACUUGCUUUCCAAGCCUUCUGAGAGUGCGUUCAAUUUCUGGGUCAAAGGGUAGUGUGUCCCUGCAUUCAGAUCUGGUCAUGAAAGAAAAUAAACAAACAAGUGAAAUCAAUUCCCCGGCAACGAUGCCAAUUUUUGACAGGAGCGGUUGUCGAAGCCGGUCAAAAAUAACCUUCUUGGUUACCUACAAUUUACAACUGUAGACAGUGGUGAAUGAUCGUAUCCACAGAGAAUUGAAUACCUAUUUAUUUAUCUCAAACAAGACCAAUAGAACUAAUUGAAAGCACAAGUGAAAGCAAGUAAUCAAAGAGAAAGAGAAACAAGUGCAAUAAAAGUAAAAGGGGGGUUUUGAGAUUAUUUGAUUAACAACUAUUGAAAGCAAUUAAAACAGUAAGUAGUCUAAAAUAAGAGAGAAAUCAAUAUGGGAAAAGUCUAGUUGAAGAUAUGGAUCCACUUUGGUUGUUUGGGUUGAUCAUUGAAACAUGGUUAUCUUAAUUGAUUCAAUAGGUUGGCUAUGGGGGUGGAAGACGUUUCUCACCACCAUGUCUUUCCUUAUGAACAAAUUGAUUAGGGAACGUCCUCUAACCAAUUACUAAUCAACAAAUUGCCAAGGAACGUCCUUGGGCCAAAGGCAUCAAAACAAUUGCCAAUUGCAUGAAGAACAAGAAAGAUCCAAACCCUAACUACUCAAACGCAUGAGAUGAUGUUAGAUCAUGCAAUUCCUUGGAUUUUUACACCAAGUGUUCAAUGGACAGAAUAUUUCCAGCAAUUACGAACUAACAAAUAUCCUAAUCCAACAAUCAAUUAACUUUGCAAUUAAGAGUCAAGUGGCCAAUUUGAUCAAAACAACAAAGCAAUCUUGGAAUCAAAGCACAAUUGCAUGAAUAUUGAAUAAAAUCAAAGACAAUAGUUUCUGUUCAAAUCUCACAACCCUUUAAACAACCUUAGUUUCAACCAAACUUCAACUAGAGAGAGGGUUUCAGCCACUCAUGGCUGAACGAAACAGAAAAUAAAAGAAAAGAAAGCAAAAGAUGAAGAACUAAGGUGGAGAGAGAGGCUUGGAGCCUUGCCAAAAUUUGGGAGAGAAGAAGAGCUUUCUUCUUGUCUUCUUGAAGCCUUUAAAUAGAUCUUGAGAGGCUGCCUAGGGUUUCAUGGAAGUCCAGGAGACUUUUAAAGGCUGUCCAAAGUGUCCUUGGUGUUGCAUGUGCCUUAUUUGUACAUGAGUGAAGGCAAAAACGAGUCACAUGUGAUAGAAGGCAAGUGAAGGCACUUUGGUCUUUUCAUAGCUGUCCAAGAUCCUCAAGAUGUUGUACAUUAAGUCCAAGAGAUUGCCCAUGCACUAAUGAGGAAGGUGGAGCCUUCUUUGGAAACUUGAAUGAAGUGGGAAACAUGUGAUCUUUGGAUUUGGCUUCCUUAAUAAGCUUGAUCUUGAAAUCCAAUAUUUGAAUGUGAAUCUUGAAGAUUUGGAUCUCAAGAUAUUUCCCUUAUUUGGCUCCUCAAAUAUGGCAACUUGGGAUAUGGCUUCUUGAACAAGGAAAGAGUGCAAUAGAGCGCAUUUUCGGCUGCCUAAGUUGAGUUUCGGAGGCUGGACUUUCGUCUAUGUUCUGAAGGUUCGGCGGCCAAAAGUGGAGAUUCGGCGGCUGAAGGUAGUGGACUUUUGUCUCUGUCUGCAAGGUUCGGCGGCCGAAGUUGCUGCCGAAGGUGGUCCACUUUCGUCUCUGGAGUCCUCAUUCGGCCGUCGAAGGUUGCUGCCGAAGGUGACUGAGUUUUGGCUUCCGAAAGUUGCCUCCGAAGGUUGCUUCUCUAAUUUUGGCUUCUUUUGGCACUUUUAAGAGCAUUUUCUCCAAAUUGUUUCUUCACACCUAAUACUUGCAAAACAUGAUUAAAACCACAAAAUUAGAUAGAAUAGGUGUAAAUAAACAUCAAUAAGAUCAUGAAAAUAUGGACUAAAUUAUGCUCUAUCAAGCAUUUCCUUCUUGGAACAUGUUGUGUCAGAAAAAGGAAUUGAAGUGGACCCCAAGAAGGUGGAAGCUGUAGCUAACUGGCCUAGACCCACUACAGUUACAGAGAUUAAGAGCUUUUUAGGUUUGUCAGGUUACUACAGGAGGUUCGUUCAGGACUUCUCCAAAAUUACCGCUCCUAUGACCAGGCUGACAAAAAAGAAUCAGAGGUUUGUUUGGUCAGAUCAGUGUGAGGAAAGCUUUGAAAAGUUGAAGAAAAGGUUAACGUCAGCACCAGUGUUAGCUUUUCCUACCAGUAAUGAAGACUUCACAGUGUUUUGUGAUGCAUCCCGUGUGGGACUAGGUUGUGUGUUAAUGCAAAAUGAGAGGGUAAUUGCUUAUGCUUCUAGGCAGUUGAAGAAGCAUGAGUUGAAUUAUCCUACACAUGACCUAGAGAUGGCAGCUGUGAUCUUUGCACUCAAGAUGUGGAGGCAUUACCUCUAUGGGGUUAAAUGUGAGAUCUUCACAGAUCAUAAAAGCUUAUAGUACAUCUUGAGUCAGAGAGAGUUGAACCUAAGGCAGAGAAGAUGGGUGGAACUGCUUAGUGACUAUGAUUGCAAGAUUCAGUACCAUCCGGGUAAGGUAAAUGUUGUGGCAGAUGCCCUAAGCCGCAAAUCACUUGGCAGUCUAUCCCAUAUUACAGCAGAGAGAAGACCGGUGGUGAGGGAAUUCUAUAAGCUCAUUGAUGAAGGGCUGCAGUUGGAGUUGUCUGGUACAGGUGCUUUGAUAGCCCAGAUGAGAGUGACACCUGUGUUUCUGGAGCAGGUGGCUCAAAAACAGCAUGAGGACCCCGAGUUGGUGAAGAUAGCAAGAGCAGUCCAGGCAGGCAAGAAUGAAGAGUUCAAAUUUGACAACAAGGGGAUCCUCUGCUAUGGGAGUAGGUUAUGUGUGCCAGAUGACGUGAGUCUGAAGGGAGACAUUAUGAGGGAAGCUCAUAAUGCUAGAUACAGUGUUCAUCCUGGAGCCACCAAAAUGUAUCAAGAUCUAAAAAGAGUUUAUUGGUGGCCAGCUAUGAAAAGAGAAGUGACACAGUUUGUGUCCGCCUGCGAGGUAUGUCAGAGGGUGAAGCUGGAACAUCAGAAGUCGGCUGGAAUGCUUAACCCACUAUCAAUUCCAGAGUGGAAAUGGGAGAAUAUAGCUAUGGAUUUCGUGGUGGGGUUAUCGGCAACAUCUAACAGAUUGGACUCCAUAUGGGUGAUUGUGGACAGACUGACCAAAUCUACUCACUUCAUUCCGGUCAGGAGUGGCUAUUCUGUGGACAAGUUGGCGCAGUGUAUGUUGAAGAAGUGGUCAGGUUGCAUGGGGCUCCCGUUUCAAUAGUGUCAGAUAGGGGAUCCUAGUUCACCUCCAGGUUUUGGCGGAGUCUGCAGAACGCUAUGGGUACCAGGCUAGAUUUUAGCACUGCUUUCUAUCUACAUACUGAUGGACAGUCAGAGAGGACCAUCCAAACCAUAGAAGAUAUGCUUAGAAUGUGUGUGCUAGAUUUUGGCGGUUCUUGGAGGCAGCAUCUACCCUUGGUGGAGUUUGCCUACAAUAACAGCUAUCAUGCUAGCAUAGGGAUGGCUCCAUAUGAAGCUUUGUAUGGAAGGAAGUGCAGGUCACCUAUCUGCUGGGAAGAAGUUGGAGAAAGGGCCUUAGUAGGGCCCGAGCUAGUAGAGAUCACCAGCAGAGUAGUGCCCGUUAUCAGAGAAAGGAUCAAGACUGCUGUGAGUCAGCAGAAGAGUUAUGCAAAUGUCCGCAGGAAGCAUGUAGAGUUUCAGGAGAGAGAUAUGGUGUUUGACAGGAGCGGUUGUCGAAGCCGAUCAAAAAUAACCUUCUUGGUUACCUACAAUUUACAACUGCAGAUAGAGGUGAAUGAUCGAAUCCACAGAGAAUUGAUUACCUAUUUAUUUAUCUCAAUCAAGACCAAUAGAACUAAUUGAAAGCACAGGUGAAAGCAAGUGAUUGACAGCUAAUUUAGAGUAAAGUGCAAUAAAAGUAAAAAGGGGGGUUUUGAGAUGAUUUGACUAACAACUAUUGAAAGCAAUUAAAACAGCAAGUAAUCAAAAAUAAAAGAUGAAAUCAAUAUGAGUAAGGUCUAGUUGAAGAUAUGGAUCCACUUUGGUUGUUUGGGUUGAUCAUUGAAACAUGGUUAUCUUGAUUGAUUCAAUAGGCUGGUUAUGGGGGUGGAAGACGCUUCUCACCACUAUGUUUUCCUUAUGAACAAACUGAUUAGGGAACGUCCUCUAACCAAUUACUAAUCAACAAAUUGCCAAGGAACGUCCUUGGGCCAUAGGCAUCAAAACAAUUGCCAAUUGCAUGAAGAACAAGAAGGAUCCAAACCCUAGCUACUCAAACGCAUGAGAUGUUGCUAGAUCAUACAAUUCCUUAGUUUUUACACCAAGUGUUCUAUGGACAGAAUAUUUCCAGCAAUUACGGACUAACAAAUAUCCUAAUCCAACAAUCAAUUAACUUUGCAAUCAAGAAUCAAGUAGCCAAUUUGAUCAAAACAACAAAGCAAUCUUUAGAAUUAAGCACAAUUGCAUGAAUAUUGAAUAAAAUCAAAGACAAAAGUUUCUGUUCAGAUCUCACAACCCUUUAAAGAACCUUAGUUUCAAUCAAACUUCAACUAGAAAGAGGGUUUCAGCCACUCAUGGCUGAACCAAAACAGAAACUAAAAGAAAAGAAAGUAAAAAGAUGAAGAACUAAGGUGGAGAGAGAGGCUUGGAGAGCCUUGCCGAUUCUUGGAGAAGAUGGUGGAUCCAAAUCUGUCUUCUUGUCUUCUUGAGGCCUUUAAAUAGAUCUUGAGAGGCUCCUUAGGGUUUGGUGGCAGUCCAUGAGUCUUUUAGAGGCUGUCCAAAGUGCCCUUGGUCCCAUAUGUGCCUUCUUUGUGUAUGGGUGAAGGCAAAAACGAGAUACAUAUGAAUAGAGGCAAGUGGGGGCUCUUUGGUCUUUUCAAUUGCUGUCCAAGGUCUUCAAGAUGUUGCCUAAAGAGUUAAGAGGCUGCCCAUGCACUAAUAAGGAAGGUGGAGCCUCCUUUUGAAUUUUGAAUGUGCAUGAUACUAAGUGGGAAACAUGUGAUCUUUGGAUUUGGCUUCCUUAAUAAGCUUGAUCUUGAAAUCCAAUAUUUGAAUGUGAAUCUUGAAGAUUUGGAUCUCACAAUACUUCCCUUGUUUGGCUCCUCAAAUAUGGCAACUUGGGAUAUGGCUUCUUGAACAAGGAAAGAGUGCAUUGAGAGUGAUUUUCGGCUGCCUAAAAUGAGUUUCGGAGGCUGGACUUUUGGCUCUUGACGCAAGGUUCAGCGGCCGAAGGUGCCGCCGAAGGUGACUGGAUUUUGGCUUCCGAAGGUUGCUGAAUUUGGGCACUUUUUGGCAUUUUUAAGAGCAUUUUCUCCAAUUUGUUUCUUCACACCUAAUAUUUGCAAAACAUGAUUAAAACCACAAAAUUAGGUAGAAUAGGUGCAAAUAAACAUCAAUAAGAUCAUGAAAAUAUGGACUAAAAUAUGCUCUAUCAGUGUUGCUCAAGGUGUCUCCUAUGAAAGGGGUGAUCCGUUUUGGAAAGAAAGGUAAGCUAGGUCCACGGUAUAUCGGACCCUUUGAAAUCUUACAGAAGAUUGGGAAUGUAUCAUAUAAGCUAGACCUACCUGCUUUAAUGGAGAGAAUCCAUCCAGUUUUCCAUGUUUCCAUGUUACAGAAGUUCGUGUCAGAUCCGGGCAAGGUUCUUAAUGAGCCUAAUGUGGAGAUCCUAAGAGAUCUCACCUAUGUUGAGCAGCCAGUGUGGAUCAUAGACACGUAGAUCAGAAAGCUGAGGAACAAGAAAGUCCCGAUGGUAAAAGUCGUUUGGAAUCACCACAACAUGGAAGAGUGUACUUAGGAGACACGGGAGUCCAUGCUCCAGCAAUACCCUUAUCUCUUCUAAGGUUAAUGUUUUAUGUUUUUUUGUGUGCUUCCUUGUUGGUAUGUGUGUGUGCCAUGCUAUGCUUGUGUGUUUAACAUUCGGGGACGAAUGUUCUUAAGGGGGGAAGAAUGUAAUACCCGGCUAGACCCCGGCAUCGGAAUUCCUACCUUCCGGCGGGAUCUCCGUUGGAAUCCGGAAUUUCUCUGAUGUCGGAGCCUUCUAGAAGGGUAAAAUAAAGGUUUUCUAAAAUGUUUUCAUAUUUUUUUUUAUAGUUUUAAUGAAGAAAGAAAAUGAGUUUUUGAAAGAAAACGCCAUGGAGGAAGAGUCCAGGUUCGGCCGCCGAACAUGGUGCUCUUGCGGAAGCACCUUUGGCCCCCGAAGGUGGUCUGGCCAGCCACCUAUAAAAGGCCCCAUAUCUGAAAAUGGGCGAGUUUUCUCUCUCUAUUUUCGGGCAUAGGUGAGAUUUUGCCUUCCUUUGGUCGAUUUUAUGUUUUCCUUCAAAUCUUUCAAGUUUUUUACAAGUUUUCAUCUUGUUUUGAAGAUUUUUGAGCUAAAGAUCAAAGUUUUGAAGCUUGGAGACACCCGAAGCUUGUUCCUCCAUAUCUCCGAGUUUGGGAUCACAUCUCCUCUCGAUCUUCAAGAGUUAAGUGUUGAUCCAUGCCUUUUAUGAUGUUUGAAGUAAGUUUUAAGAAGGGGUUAAAGGUUUUGAUGCAUGUUUAGGCUAGAUGUAAAAUAUUCUGGUUUAUGUGAGGUUGUUGAUAAAUGUAUGUUAAAUGUGAUGUUUGUUGGGGUAUAGGUUAGUUUUAUGCCCCUUGAUAGAGCACAUUUUAGUCCACUUUCUCAUUAUGUUUUUGAUGUUUAUUUACACCAUUUCUGCCUAAUUUUGUAGUUUUAAUCAUGUUUUGCAGAUAUUAAGCGUAAAGAGACAAUCUGGAGAAAAUGCUCUUAAAACUGCUAAAAAGUGCCAAAUAUGGAAAGUGCCAAAAAAGGAAAAUUUUCAAAUAAGGAAAGUUUUCAGAAAAUGAAAGUUUUCAAAUAAGGGAAGUGCAGAAGUAAAAGCGAAUAAGGAAAGCUCAGUCAGAAGAUUAUUUGAAAUUCAAAUCGCAGAUCUUUCUUUCCUUGUUCAAAGAUGUGCAUACACUGCAGCAGUCAUAUCUUCCUAUUUAGGCAGCAAGAUCUGAUGAAGACGCACUUGCCUCUUUUGUGUUCAGCAUUCAAAAUUCAAACGAAGGCUCCACCUAAAAAGGAAAGACUGGACAGAUUCACUUUCCCUUCCGCAUUCAAUGACUGCGCUCCACUUCCUCUUCUGCAAUUCGCGUGCACCCUUCCUCUUUUGAAGCAUGAUCCGCGCGCCUCCUUCCUUCUAGAGAAUUUGCAACGCGAUUCUUUCCUUUUCAACACUUUGAGCAGCCUCUUCACUAAUUAGGAAGCAAGUAUGACCUAGGGCAGCACUUUCAACUAUAAAAAGACACAUAAGGAGCCUCCAUACAACUUUUACACACCACCUUGGAGACACCUACGGGAUUCACAUCUCUUCUUCUACCUUUCUUCUUUUCUUUUAUUUUUGGUUUUGGUUCAGCCAUGAGUGGCUGAAACCUUUUUAUCUAGUUGAAGAUUAAGUGAUACUUUAGUUGUUUUAUGGAUUGGGAGACUUGAUUAAACAUUGUUUAUCUUUUGUUAUUCAAUAUUCAUACAAUCUCAUGCUUAAUUCCAUUAUUGCUUUGUUGUUUUGAUCAAUAUGGCCAAUUGAUUCUUGAUUGCAAGGUAAUAAUAUAUUAGUUUGGGUGAUUUAAGUCCGUAAUUGCUUGGAUUAUUCAAACAUAAGAACACUUAGUGUAAAAACUAAGGAAAUUGUAUGAUCUAGCAACAUCUCAUGUGUUUGAGUAGUUAGGAUUGGAUCUCUCUCUUUCUUCAUGCAAUUAACAAUCGUUUGAUGCCUAAGGCCCAAGGACGUUCCUUGGAAAUUUGUUAAUUAGUAAUUAUUAGAGGACGUUCCCUAAUUGGUUUAAUCAUAAAAAGAGACAUGGUGGUGAGAAGCGUCUUCCAUCUCCAUAACUAAUCUAUUGAAUCAAUCAAAAGAAACUAAGUGUCAAUGAUCAAUCCUAACAAUUGAAGUGGAUCCAAUUCUUCAACCAGAGCUUUCUUAUUAUUUAUUUCUCUUUUAUUUUAUUAUUCGCUUAUUUUAAUUGCUUUCAGUAGUUUGUUAAUCAAAUCAAUCUCAAACCCCCUAUUUUACUUUUACUGCAAUUUAUUUUUAUUCCGCUUUCAGUUUAUCUCGUUUUCAGUUUUAUCUCGUUUCAGUUUGUUUUGCUUUCAGUUUAUUUUGCUUUCAGGUUAUUUCACUUUCAGUUUAUUUUGCUUUCCGUUUAUCUCGUUUCAGUUUAUUUCUUUUUCAGUUUAUUUUUGUUUCAGUUUAUUUUAUUGGUCUGUGGAUUCGAUCCUUUCACCACUAUCUGCAGUUGUAAAUUGUUGAUAACCAGAGAGGUUAUUUUUUACCAGUUUCGACAACCGCGAGUCAAAAAUUGGCGCCAUUGCCGGGGAGUUGAUGUAACUUAUUUGUUUUUCUUUCAAUUCCAAAAAAAAAAAAAAAAAUUUGAAGCGCACAGUCAUAAAGCCUGCCAUCGCAGAACUGAAUCAUGGAUGAGGUAAGUACAUAUACUACUUCUUCUCAGCUUUCUGAACUGACAUCUUUUAUGAAAGAUUUUGCCAUAGGACUAGUUCAACAGGUUCAAGCAUUUCAGCCACCAAGGCCAUAUGGUACCUAUACAUAUGUGGGACACCCAACUGAUCAAUGCCCUAUGCUUUAUGGGAAUAGUCAGCCUAGACAUACAUUUGGAGGAUUCAAUGACCAACCAAUUCAUGCAUAUGGAGGAUUCUACGAACAACCAAGACAUGACCCCUACUAUAAUACAUAUAAUCUAGGUUGGGAAGACUAUCCAGACUUCAGUUAUGCAGAGGCUAACAACUACCAGGAUUAUCAAGGAUAUCAAGCCCAACCAGAACCUCCAAAUCCCAACCAACACCUUGAAAAGAUGAUAGAGUCCAUGGCGAGUGCUAUACAAAGCCUCAGUCAGCACGUAGACCAGCUGACUACAUCUAUGAGCAAAUCUGAAUCCCAAAGCACCUUAAUGAAUGCAAACAUGUUAAGAAGAGAGGAAGAGUUUUAAGAUGAUGAGACAGAUGAUAAAAGUUGGCAAGUACAAGAACAAGCUGCUGAAGAGACACAACCAAAAUACUGUUUGUCCAAACAAACUGAUCAAACAGAACUUGUUGAUAGUUUAGAUAUCAUUGAUUAUUUGAGCAAAGAUAUUUUUGAUAUAAAAGAUGAUAUUCUAAACAAUGAUUUAUGCAGGGAAGAAAGCCAAAAAGAGCCAAAUUGCAUCCGACAGGUGGACUGCAGCCAUGUGCAGAAUGAACAGAAACCAAUUGCACCACUUCAGCUUGGUACGCAAACCACUCCUGUGCAGGAAGGAGGACCUGAAAGCCUUUCAGGCACGCCUCUUCAGCUUCCAAUGUAGAUCAGUCUCCCCUUUCAGUCAGACCUUGCGCAGAAGGAGCAAACUAAAACCAAUUCAGUCAUAGAUCCAAUGCAAACGGUCCAUGCUCACAAGAAACAAACGGUAUUCCAAGCACCUAAACCAAAGGACCAUGCAGAUCAAUGCCUUCCCAAACCUCCGAAUAAGGUAGAGUUUGUUUUGCCUGAAUUUAGAACCAAAUUGCAGCUAGCCAUAGAGAAACAUGAAUUGAAGUUGGAAGUGCUAAAAAAUGCAAACAUAAGGGCUAGAGGCACACCUCAUUUGAAAGAGGAGAAGCUAAUCAUAUUACUUCAUGAGUACAUGAAAAAAAUGGGAUGGGCUAUGACAAAAUCAAAGGGCGUGCUACACUUUUUGCUUAAUGCAGUUGGGACCCUUUUUCCUUCCCCAAUUACUUGAGCCUUGAUCAAGUGGAUCGCACCAUGCACACCACAUCCAGGGGAGUACUCAUUUUCUUUUGCAUUUUAAUAUUUCCUAAACAUUGAGGACAAUGCAUGAUUUAGGUGUGGGGGUGCAUAUCUGAACUUUUAUUUUCAGUCAGUCUUUCAAUUUUAGUUCCAUUUUUGCAUUUCUCUUUCUUUCAAUUCCAUUUUUGCGAUUUGCUUAGUUCUGAAUAGCCACAGUUGAAAAUUUUUUUUUUCAUUUUUGCUUUCAAUAACACACACACAGCCACAGUCUUCUUCUUUUUGUUUUGCUCUACUCAAACUGAUAGACUAUGUUGGAUGAGCUUUUCUCUCCAUGAGCCCAUUGAUGUGAUGACUCUUUAAACUUAUGUUGAAUCAAUUGCAGUGAGUUAUAUUCAUGUUUGAGAAUUGCCUUUUGAAUUGAAUCUUUGAGCUUGCCAUGGUGAAAAAUGUAUUGAUGACACUCAUUAGAGAGAAUGAAUUGAAAUUUGUGCGAAUAAACUUAACAUGACUUGAUUUAGCAAUUGGUGUUGAUUUGCCCAAUGCAUUGACUAAAGAAAUUCAACAAAGGCUUAGACUUUAUGAGCACAAAUUGAAAACUGUUCCAAUGGUUGAAAGACUAUGAACAGAGCUAGUAGCCACUUGAAUAGGUGACCAACUGAACUGAACAUGUGCAUGUAUAGUCUCUCUCUUGAGCAAAACAAAUCCUAGCCAUGGUAAGUAAAGGGAAACAAGGAAAGAAGGGAGUAAUCUUCAUGCAUAUAUUCUUCACUGCAAUGAUUCAAAAUAGAUGUUUAGAGUAAGAGCUUAAGUGGAAAUAAGGAUCUAGAGCAAAGAAAGCUUGUUUGACUGUGUUUAUUUGCUUGAGAACAAGCAAAAGGCUAGGUGUGGGGGUAUUUGAUAGAGCACAUUUUAGUCCACUUUCUCAUUAUGUUCUUGAUGUUUAUUUACACCAUUUCUGCCUAAUUUUGUGGUUUUAAUCAUGUUUUGCAGAUAUUAGGCGUAAAGAGACAAUCUGGAGAAAAUACUCUUAAACUGCCAAAAAGUGCCAAAUAUGGAAAGUGCCAAAAAGGAAAGUUUUCAAAUAAGGGAAGUGCAGAAGUAAAAGCGAAUAAAAAAAGCUCAAUCAGAAGAUUAUUUGAAAUUCAAAUUGCAGAUCUUUCUUUCCUUGUUCAAAGAUGUGGACACACUGCAGCAGUCAUAUCUUCCUAUUUAGGCAGCAAGAUAUGAUGAAGACGCACUUGCCUCUUCUGCGUUCAGCAUUCAAAAUUCAAACGAAGGCUCCACCUAAAAAGGAAAGACUGGACAGAUUCACUUUCCCUUCCGCAUUCAAUGACUGCGCUCCACUUCCUCUUCUGCAAUCCGCGCGCACCCUUCCUCUUUUGAAGCCUGAUUCGCGCGCCUCCUUGCUUCUGGAGAAUUUGCAACGCGAUUCUUUCCUUUUCAGCACUUUGGGCAGCCUCUUCACUAAUUAGGAAGUAAGUAUGACCUAGGGCAGCACUUUCAACUAUAAAAAGACACAUAAGGAGCCUCCACACAACUUUUACACACCACCUUAGAGACACCUACGGGAUUCACAUCUCUUCUUCUACCUUUCUUCUUUUCUUUUAUUUUUGGUUUUGGUUCAGCCAUGAGUGGCUGAAACCUUUUUAUCUAGUUGAAGAUUAGAUGAUACUUUAGUUGUUUCAUGGAUUGGGAGACUUGAUCAAACAUUGUUUAUCUUUUGUUAUUCAAUAUUCAUACAAUCUCAUGCUUAAUUCCAUUGUUGCUUUGUUGUUUUGAUCAAUAUGGCCAAUUGAUUCUUAAUUGCAAGGUAAUAACAUAUUAGUUUGGGUGAUUUAAGUCCGUAAUUGCUUGGAUUAUUCAAACAUAAGAACACUUGGUGUAAAAACCAAGGAAAUUGUAUGAUCUAGCAACAUCUCAUGCGUUUGAGUAGUUAGGAUUGGAUCUCUCUCUUUCUUCAUGCAAUUAACAAUUGUUUGAUGCCUAAGGCCCAAGGACGUUGUAAUACCCAGCUAGACCCCGGCAUCGGAAUUCCUAUUUUUCGGUGGAAUCUCGGAUGUCGGAAACCUCUAGAAGGGUAAAAUAUGUUUUUUCUAAAAUGUUUUCAUGUGUUUUAAGGUUUUAAGUAAGAAAGAAAUUGAGUUUUGAAAGAAAAGCACCAAGGAAGGAAAGCCAGGUUUGGCCGCCAAACCUCAUGUUCGGCCGCCGAACAUGGUGCAGUUUAGGGAGCACCUUUGGCCCCCAAAGGUGGUCUGGCCAGCCACCUAUAAAAGGCCCCAUGUCCGAAAAUGGGCGAGUUUUCUUCUCCAUUUUCGGGCAAAGGUGAGUCCAAACCCUUCCAUGGUUAGUUUUGAUGUUUUCCUUAAAAUCCUUCAUGUUUUGACGAGUUUUAGCUUGGUUUUGAAGAUUUUGAGCAAAGAUCGAAGUUUGGAAGCUUGGAGACCUUCGGAACUCAUUUUCCCCAAAUCUCCAAGUUGGGUCACGCCUUCUCUCGAUCUUCAAGAGGUAAGCGUCAAUCCUCACCAUCUUUGAUGUUUUAAGCAAGUUUUAUGAAGGGUUAUGGGGUGAAGAUGCAUGAUUAGGUUAGUUAUAAAAGUGUUAGGGUUUAUAUGGGUUUAAGGAUGAAAUGCAUGUUAAUGUGUUGCUUUGUUGAUGUUUGUUGGGGUAUAGGAUAGUUUGAACCCAAGGGGACAAAUCCUGCCAGGAACCCGUGAGGGUGAAUGGAUGUUAAAAACUGUUCACGACGCCAGUGGAAAGUCCGAGGUGGCACGAGGCCAGGCGAGGGAUAGCCCUGGGCCGUGAACGGUAACAGUGCCGGUGAAAGGGCAUGACUGUUACAAUUAAAAUAUUAUUUUAUAAUAUCACGUUGUUAGUAAAUAAUAAUAAUUUCUAAACGUUAUUAAGAAGUCGAUAUAUAAAUGAUAUUGUGAGAUAUUAUUUUGAUACAAACUAAACUAUAAAUUUUGAAGUGAAAAUGAAUUGAAAUUAUAUUUAUUCUUUUAUAUUUUUUUAAUUAAUAAUUAUAUUUUAAUUUAUCACUUCAUAUGUUUUAAUAGUUGCUUGAAAAUAGUUAAUAUUUGAUAAUAAUAUAAUACCAUGAAAUAUUAUUUUAAUAUAAAUUAAAUUAUAUAAAUAGUAAAACAUAACAUAUUUUUGUGUAUUUUUUUUAAAAAAAAUACAAUUUUUUAAAAAGAAAAAAGAAGAAAUGCUUCUACAAAAAGGGAAAUAUGGCCGGACUGAAGCGUCAAGGCCCACUGUCUGCAAGCAAUUAGCUGUAUUCGGCCCAAAUACGCCUUUUAAAAUACCUCUAAACCCUCUCGCUAAACCCUAACCCCGCAAAACCCUCUAUUUCCUCUGCCUCUUUUCUUGAAACCUGCAAUGGCAUUCAGUUCCCUUCUUCGCAGAGCCUCAGCCUCUGUACUUCCUCUUGCAAUUCGCUCUGUUGGUUCUCAGAGAACCUUUCACAGCGCAAUAUCCGCUGUUCUCUCUGUUGAAAAGCGCAAUCUCAGGUACGAGGCCUGUCGGCAAGUCUUUGCUCCAUUUUUCCGAUUCUCGACGUCCACCGGAGCAAAACUGAGUGCCGAUGAGAAUCUGAUUCGAGUCCUCGAAUCUGAGAUCGACUGCGCCGAGCAACCAAAUGAUGUAAGUCUUCUAUUUCUAGUUUUAUAUUAAAAAUUUAUUCGACUGCUAUGAUUUUGGUUUGUCGUGUUUGUUUGCUGUGCAUAGCAUAUGUUCGCUACAUAUAUUUCUUAUGGCGUUUACCGUUUUUGUUGGCUAGCUGUGUGAUUUAUAAUGUAAAACUUGAUUUAUUAUCUCUUUAUUUUCUACAAAUUUAAUGAAUUCAUCAAUCUUGGGGAAUCUUUCCAUUUUUCAGCACAACUUUUGCAAUUCCUUGUUUGAUAUGAUUUUUAAUGUAGUCAAUUUCUAGGUUGUAAUACUUCAUGAUUAGUCUCUGUUUAUAUCUGUAAAAAAAAAUUUCUAGAUAUAAUUCAUCUUUUUUCUGUUUACUAGCUAUCAUAGUCAAUACAUCUACUUUCAAGUGUAAAGCUAUCAGUUAUUUCAAAACUGAAAUUGGAUUGGGAUCUUUAAAUUUGGGUUCUUGAGGUCCAUUUCCAAGGGUGAGCAAGCGUGCUUGUUCUUCAACAAUUGGCCAUCGUAAUUCUUGUUAUGCUCUUUCCUACAUGUAGCUUCUCUGAGCUUUUUACUAGUUUCACUAGUUGUGAAAUCUUGCUCAUACCUGUAACAUUUGAGUGGUGCUCGCUGAACAUGUCAUUGUUCAUUUAAGUGCUUGAGAUGACAUUCAUAGAAGCCACAAACAUCAUGUCAAUUUUUUAUGAUGACCCUAAACAGGUGGAGGAUAUCCCAAAUGGAUUUCCUUUUGAAAUCCAAGAUAAUCCUGGAGAGAGAACCAUAUUACUAAAAAGGAAGUACCAAGAUGAGACAAUCAAAGUUGAAGUUGAUGAACCUAGUAUUCCAGAUGAGGAUGUUCAGGAAGAUGACGAUGGUGAUCAGGAUAAAAAUGUUGAGGACUCGGAUAACCCAGCAAGCCUUCCACUGGUUGUAAGUAUUACUAAAGGAAAUGGCCAGAUUCUGGAGUUUGGUAUCACUGCUUACCCAGAUGAGAUCACAAU
rnacentral:lncRNA from 1 species